UACGUAGGGUCCAAGCGUUAUCCGGAAUCACUGGGCGUAAAGCGUGUGUAGGCGGCGUGUUAAGUGCGAUGCGAAAUCUUGUGGCUCAACCAUAUAGACUGUAUCGCAUACUGGCAUGCUAGAGGAUGGCAGAGGCAAGUGGAAUUGGUAGUGUAGCAGUGAAAUGCGUAGAUAUUACCAGGAACACCAAUGGCGAAGGCAGCUUGCUGGGCCAUUUCUGACGCUGAGACACGAAAGCGUGGGGAGCGAACAGG
rnacentral:rRNA from 1 species